AGACAAUGAUGCAUAGCCGAGUUGAGAGACUGAUCGGCCACAUUGGGACUGAGACACGGCCCAAACUCCUACGGGAGGCUGCAGUAGGGAAUCUUCCACAAUGGGCGAAAGCCUGAUGGAGCAACGCCGCGUGUGUGAUGAAGGCUUUCGGGUCGUAAAGCACUGUUGUAUGGGAAGAAAAGUUAAGGUAGGGAAUGACCUUAGCCUGACGGUACCAUACCAGAAAGGGACGGCUAAAUACGUGCCAGCAGCCGCGGUAAUACGUAUGUCCCGAGCGUUAUCCGGAUUUAUUGGGCGUAAAGCGAGCGCAGACGGUUGGUUAAGUCUGAUGUGAAAGCCCGGAGCUCAACUCCGGAAAGGCAUUGGAAACUGGUUAACUUGAGUGCAGUAGAGGUAAGUGGAACUCCAUGUGUAGCGGUGGAAUGCGUAGAUAUAUGGAAGAACACCAGCGGCGAAGGCGGCUUACUGGACUGUAACUGACGUUGAGGCUCGAAAGUGUGGGUAGCAAACAGGAUUAGAUACCCUGGUAGUCCACACCGUAAACGAUGAACACUAGGUGUUAGGAGGUUUCCGCCUCUUAGUGCCGAAGCUAACGCAUUAAGUGUUCCGCCUGGGGAGUACGACCGCAAGGUUGAAACUCAAAGGAAUUGACGGGGACCCGCACAAGCGGUGGAGCAUGUGGUUUAAUUCGAAGCAACGCGAAGAACCUUACCAGGUCUUGACAUCCUUUGAAGCUUUUAGAAAUAGAAGUGUUCUCUUCGGAGACAAAGUGACAGGUGGUGCAUGGUCGUCGUCAGCUCGUGUCGUGAGAUGUUGGGUUAAGUCCCGCAACGAGCGCAACCCUUAUUGUUAGUUGCCAGCAUUCAGAUGGGCACUCUAGCGAGACUGCCGGUGACAAACCGGAGGAAGGCGGGGACGACGUCAGAUCAUCAUGCCCCUUAUGACCUGGGCUACACACGUGCUACAAUGGCGUAUACAACGAGUUGCCAACCUGCGAAGGUGAGCUAAUCUCUUAAAGUACGUCUCAGUUCGGACUGCAGUCUGCAACUCGACUGCACGAAGUCGGAAUCGCUAGUAAUCGCGGAUCAGCACGCCGCGGUGAAUACGUUCCCGGGUCUUGUACACACCGCCCGUCACACCAUGGAAGUUUGUAAUGCCCAAAGCCGGUGGCCUAACCGUAAGGAGGGAACC
rnacentral:rRNA from 1 species